CUGGCUCAGAACGAACGCUGGCGGCAGGCUUAACACAUGCAAGUCGAGCGCCCCGCAAGGGGAGCGGCAGACGGGUGAGUAACGCGUGGGAACGUACCUUUUGCUACGGAAUAACUCAGGGAAACUUGUGCUAAUACCGUAUGUGCCCUUCGGGGGAAAGAUUUAUCGGCAAAGGAUCGGCCCGCGUUGGAUUAGCUAGUUGGUGAGGUAAAGGCUCACCAAGGCGACGAUCCAUAGCUGGUCUGAGAGGAUGAUCAGCCACACUGGGACUGAGACACGGCCCA
rnacentral:rRNA from 1 species